UACGUAGGGUCCGAGCGUUGUCCGGAAUUACUGGGCGUAAAGAGCUCGUAGGCGGCUUGUCGCGUCGUUCGUGAAAACCCGGGGCUCAACUCCGGGCUUGCGGGCGAUACGGGCAGGCUAGAGUUCGGUAGGGGAGACUGGAAUUCCUGGUGUAGCGGUGAAAUGCGCAGAUAUCAGGAGGAACACCGGUGGCGAAGGCGGGUCUCUGGGCCGAUACUGACGCUGAGGAGCGAAAGCGUGGGGAGCGAACAGG
rnacentral:rRNA from 1 species